rnacentral:tRNA from 1 species
GUGGGCGUAGCUCAGCAGGUAGAGCUCCGGAUUGUGGAUCCGGCGGUCGUGGGUUCAAGCCCCAUCGUCCACCCCA